GGGACUGAGAGAUGGCUUAGUGG
rnacentral:piRNA from 1 species